rnacentral:rRNA from 1 species
CAGCAGCCGCGGUAAUACAGAGGAUGCAAGCGUUAUCCGGAAUGAUUGGGCGUAAAGCGUCUGUAGGUGGCUUUUCAAGUCCGCCGUCAAAUCCCAGGGCUCAACCCUGGACAGGCGGUGGAAACUACCAAGCUGGAGUACGGUAGGGGCAGAGGGAAUUUCCAGUGUAGCGGUGAAAUGCGUAGAUAUCGGAAGGAACACCUGUGGCGAAAGCGGCUCACUGGACCAUUUCUGACGCUGAUGCACGAAAGCUAGGGGAGCAAACAGGAUUAGAUACCCCGGUAGUCCCUGUCUCUUAUAC